UACGUAGGGCGCAAGCGUUGUCCGGAAUUAUUGGGCGUAAAGGGCUCGUAGGUGGCCAACUAAGUCAGACGUGAAAUCCCUCGGCUUAACCGGGGAACUGCGUCUGAUACUGGAUGGCUUGAGUUUGGGAGAGGGACGCGGAAUUCCAGGUGUAGCGGUGAAAUGCGUAGAUAUCUGGAGGAACACCGGUGGCGAAGGCGGCGUCCUGGACCAACACUGACACUGAGGAGCGAAAGCCAGGGGAGCAAACGGG
rnacentral:rRNA from 1 species